AUCUUCUGAUUGGUCGGUUUGGCGAACGCUGGGUGGGGUACGUUGCAUGAGAUGCUCUGGAGAUGGCGCCCCAACCGCGGACUUUUGAUCUUUUGAGCUAGCAACACAGCACGAGGAGUGCGUCAUAAGGAGGAGGAGUUCCGUGGGGAAGGAAGCGAAGGAAGCCAACGGGGCAUGCAACGGGGAGACGAACUACGUUCUAUUGGCGCCGCGUAACGCUACGCGAAGCGGACGCGGCACUUUGGAAGACUGAUUCUGCUUACCGACACGAUGGACAUAGGAGACAACUGAAGGUGGGACAUCGUAGUUCAAAACCAGGCUUACACCCUUAAAAUCAAUACCACGGGCCAUGAGAUCCGUGCAGAUGAGAACCCAGAUCUUUCCAGAGCGGAAGCUUCGAAUCACGUUAUCACGUUGCGUAAGCGUCCGCUCAGAAUGAAUAACGUCAACAUUGAUGCCAUCGUAGAUGAGCUCAUCGAACAGCUCUCGGGCUCUCUCCUUGCUCUGUGUGAAGACCAGGACAGGGGGCUGCAGGCCCUAUGGAUUAGAACAAGAAAUCGGGCAAACAACAAAAAAGGAUGACAUAUGAAUCAAGAAUGGACUUCCAUUGAUCCUUCGGCAUGAUACUUGGGCUGCAUUCAUCUUCAAUGACAAUAGCACUGUUGUUAACACUUGA